rnacentral:lncRNA from 1 species
GUGGGGAUUCCCGCGGCCCUGGCCACUACCCGGCCUGCCCCGCGGCAAGAUGGAGACCUGAACGCAGCUGGCAGCGGCGGAAAAAGAUUCAGGUGCCCCAGGGACUGGAAGAAAUUACAUUGCCUACUUGGAAAGAAGAAGAGAUAGCGACUUGCCCCCGCCCAACCCCAGAGCGGGUACUUGCUGUCACCAGCUCCUGAAUUCAUUCUCGCUGCGUGUCUACUUUUGCUCUUUUGCUCCGGAGUUGGGCUGCUCAC